AUCCAUGUUUCCACUAAAAUACAGUCUUGGGUCCACAUUUCUCCACCUGUUGAGACUCUAACAUCAAUAGAAUCUGAUAGGUUAAAGUUGGACCAGACAAAGACUGGAGAUCUGUCCAAGAUCUGUCUAAAAGAAGGUAAAGAUUGUCCAAAAAUAACUAAAACCUUUCAAAAAUGUGUAGAAACCUGUCUGAUGUGUGGAAAGUUUGAUCAGACAAGGUUCCAGUUUUACAUAUUUAUACUAAAUGUUAAUGAGGACUCAUUGGUAGGAACCAGAACCUGGAGUUCAUAGAGGUCUAGAUGUUCAUAGAGGUCUAGAUGUUCAUAGAGGUCUAGGUGUUCAUGGAGGUCUAGGUGUUUAUAGAGGUCUAGGUGUUCAUAGAGGUCUCGAUGUUCAUAGAGGUGUAGGUGUUCAUAGAGGUCUCGAUGUUCAUAGAGGUGUAGGUGUUUAUAGAGGUCUAGGUGUUCAUAGAGGUCUAGGUGUUCAUAGAGGUCUAGAUGUUCAUAGAGGUCUAGGUGUUUAUAGAGGUCUAGGUGUUCAUAGAGGUCUAGAUGUUCAUAGAGGUCUAGGUGUUCAUAGAGGUCUAGGUGUUUAUAGAGGUCUAGGUGUUCAUAGAGGUCUAGGUGUUCAUAGAGGUCUAGGUGUUUAUAGAGGUCUAGGUGUUCAUAGAGGUCUAGGUGUUUAUAGAGGUCUAGGUGUUUAUAGAGGUCUAGGUGUUCAUAGAGGUCUCGAUGUUCAUAGAGGUGUAGGUGUUUAUAGAGGUCUAGGUGUUCAUAGAGGUCUAGAUGUUCAUAGAGGUCUAGAUGUUUAUAGAGGUCUAGGUGUUCAUAGAGGUCUAGGUGUUCAUAGAGGUCUAGGUGUUUAUAGAGGUCUAGGUGUUCAUAGAGGUCUAGAUGUUUAUAGAGGUCUAGGUGUUCAUAGAGGUCUCGAUGUUCAUAGAGGUGUAGGUGUUUAUAGAGGUCUAGGUGUUCAUAGAGGUCUAGGUGUUCAUAGAGGUCUAGAUGUUCAUAGAGGUCUAGGUGUUUAUAGAGGUCUAGGUGUUCAUAGAGGUCUAGAUGUUCAUAGAGGUCUAGGUGUUUAUAGAGGUCUAGGUGUUCAUAGAGGUCUAGAUGUUCAUAGAGGUCUAGAUGUUUAUAGAGGUCUAGGUGUUCAUAGAGGUCUAGGUGUUCAUAGAGGUCUAGGUGUUCAUAGAGGUCUAGGUGUUCAUAGAGGUCUCGAUGUUCAUAGAGGUCUAGGUGUUCAUAGAGGUCUAGGUGUUCAUAGAGGUCUAGGUGUUCAUAGAGGUCUAAAUGUUCAUAGAGGUCUAGGUGUUCAUAGAGGUCUAGAUGUUCAUAGAGGUCUAGGUGUUCAUAGAGGUCUAGGUGUUCAUAGAGGUCUAGGUGUUCAUAGAGGUCUCGAUGUUCAUAGAAGUCUACAUGUUCAUAGAGGUCUAGAUGUUCAUAGAGGUCUAGAUGUUCAUAGAGGUCUAGGUGUUCAUAGAGGUCUAGGUGUUCAUAGAGGUCUAGAUGUUCAUAGAGGUCUAGAUGUUCAUAGAGGUCUAGAUGUUG